rnacentral:tRNA from 1 species
GCAUCGGUGGUUCAGUGGUAGAAUUCUCGCCUGCCACGCGGGAGACCCGGGUUCAAUUCCCAGCCGAUGCA